CCUUGAUGGCGGGUAGUGGUCCAGGUGUCAUGCUGUCUCAGCUCACCCUGGUUUCUGGGAACACAACAGAAGAGGACCUGCUUCGGUCUGGCUCCCCUGGGCCUUCCUUUCUUCCCCACGUCUCCCAGGAUACAGUCCAUGGCUCCCGGCCAGUGAGUUCUGCAUUGCCUACGGCUCCUGGUACUCAGCUGCUCUUGGCUUAGGGUGUUUGCCAAGGCUGAAUGGUUCCAUGGAAACAUACUACUGUAAAAGUCCAUCAUGACACGGGAACUUGCUCCAUGCUGUAGUGACAAGGCACAAUUCUUCAGCUCUCAGGAUGAUGACUGUACCAUGUAAAGAGGAACCUAGCACAGUGAUGGCCCCACGUCACAUGCCCUGGGGCACUCAGCCUCUGAUGGAAAUCUCUGGUCACCCCCCCCCCACCACCCCGCACCCCACCCCAGGUCAGGACUCUCAUCAUGGCCGUAGGUUUCUGCAGGUCUCUUCUGCUCCUCCCUGGAUAGGGACUGCAUGGGUGGGAGAGACAUGGUGCGUCGUCAUUAACACUCAAAGCUAUUUUGAUUUGGUUACAAGAUUUACAACUCCUCUGAAUCCAAAAAGGACUAGAAGCUUGCAUUACCAAUUUAUACAUAUAGAAGAACAAAUAAAAUUUAAAUUAAGCCUGAGCAAUAAUGACAAAAGACAGAAGGAUCAAUUGUUCAUUUGACUAAGAUACUAAGAUAGCCAGGCAUGGUGGCACAUACCUGUUAUCCCAGCCUCCAGGAGGCUGAUGCAGGAGAAUUAUCAUUUGAGGCCAGCCUAACCUACAUAGUGAGACCCCGUCUCAAAAAACAAAAACAAAAACACACAUAAUUUCGAGCUCCUGGUCCCAAGCCCAAGGCACAAGAAACUGUAUCAUGCUGUUCUAUUGUCUCACAGAGGUUGGGAUUCUCAGGUAGACGGGACAGAGUGCUCUGUUUGAGCAGGAAGGAUUCCCUUAGAUCCCUGGGAAGGGGCCUCCUGCUGCAGAGUAAGCAGUGGUGCAGAGGAGAGGCCUUCUAGAAGGAUUCAGCGGCCACUCUGCCUCCAGGUUUCUUAUUUACAUAUCUCUUCUUCCCCACUCCCAGGGCCCCGACUUGGUGUUUACCAGUGAAUUCAUUGUGAAAGUGCAGCUCCAGUCACCUCUGGAACCUGCAGAUGGCAUAAUUAGGGAGCAGGGCACUGAUGGUGUUAGUGGACAGCACUGAGCGAGGUCACGCUUGUGUGCAUCAUUACCCCCACUGUGUCUGCACCCCUCCUCAUGAU
rnacentral:lncRNA from 1 species